GUGCCAAUAUCUGUUGUUGCAUCUUUCAAGAAGAUUAAGGCCCUCGUAAGUAGUCAUUCCCAGCUUGCAACUGUAUUGCGGAACUCCUCAAAGCUUGUAGUACAUGAAGAUGGGAAGAAGGUCAGACGCCAGCAUCCCCUGACUCAAUCAGAUAUGGAAGAGUUGCAACCUCACAUUGUUGUUGCUGAAAAUUUGCCUGAGGAUCAUUGCCACCAAAACCUCAUGAAGAUUUUCUCUGCUGCUGGGAGUGUGAAGACAAUUCGUACCUGCCAGCCGCAAACCUCAAACAGUAAUUCUUCCUCAGCAUCCAGAUCAGCAAAAGCAGAUGGCAUGCAUUUCAGUAACAAU